AUCCCUGUAGUGCAAUGGAUAACGCGUUGGACUUAUGAUCCUAAGGUCGUGGUUUCGAAUUCCACCUGGGAUG